UGCAGUAACUUUUUGUUAAUGUGCACGUCUUUGUUGCUGACUUCCUGAGGACGAGGCCCACAAGGGGGGAUAAGAAAAGGCUGCAUGCGCACAUUGGAACAGACGUGGAAGAAUACAAAGGUUAUGCCGACAUGUACCUUGGUCUUUGGCUAGAAAUCAUGUUUUCGUCAAGAGGGAGGGACACGUGAAGCAAUUUAAAGUGACCAAAUUUCACAAACGGGAGACACAUUCUGCGCAACAUGAAAAGGGUAUUUUUUUGGAGAGUUUUAGUAUGUAACAUAGGUUCGGUGGUUUCUGUUGUUUUACAUUGUUGGAAGGUGCAAGUUCGGUUCUUUCCAUUUUGCUAUGGAAAACAAAACAUGGGUUUUGUGUUUUGUUUAGUGGAAGGAAAAGACACGGUUUGCUCUCUUGGCUGGAACCCAUGUUUGUCUUCUAAGCUUAUCCGGUUCAGGUGGUUGCUGAAAGAAGUUCUCCAAUUCAUCACAGAAUGUUGAAUCUAUAAAAGAAAUGUCUGUUUCCUAUAAAUGUAACAACCGGGUUGUACAGAAUUUAUAUGUAUUUAGACUUCGAUUCAAGGAAGAAAUACAGUCUCAAUCGGAUGCAUGAAUGUGAAUAAUCUGACCAUCAUUGAAGUGCACUAGUAUUUUAACUUGGACAAUUCAUCUCAUGCCAUUCCUUUUCCUCAUGUCCAUUUCAUCAAGUCUCGUUUUCUACUUCCUAGUAGGGCUGAGAGAUGAAUUAAACUUCUUAAUGUACUUUGUUCUAUACAUUUUCAUGUCUCUUUUAGCAAGUGAAGCAAUUAUGUUUGUCACGGAAGUUGUUUAUCGUUUUGCUGUGUUCAUUUUAUUACGCAGAUAAUAAUCUCUGCUUAUCAGUUGUAGGUGUUAGAGAGUCGGUACAGAAUUUAGUAGUUUUUUUGGCUUACUUGCAUCGUUGCAUUGUACAAUGAAAUUAUUUUUUAUGCAUUUUGCAUUUCCUAUAUCAGUUUUCAGUUUAUAAUGAAUUUUUGUAGCUGUAUGUGUUUCGUCAAAUUAUUAUCAUUAAUUAAAUGUGUGUCAUUCUCAA